rnacentral:rRNA from 1 species
AUGCACGCUGGCGGCGUGCCUCAUCCCUGCCAUUCGAGCGAACGGACGAGAAGCUUGCUUCUCUGAUGUUAGCGGCGGACGGGUGAGUAACACGUGGAUAACCUACCUAUAAGACUGGGAUAACUUCGGGAAACCGGAGCUAAUACCGGAUAAUAUUUUGAACCGCCUGGUUCAAAAGUGAAAGACGGUCUUGCUGUCACUUAUAGAUGGAUCCGCGCUGCAUUAGCUAGUUGGUAAGGUAACGGCUUACCAAGGCAACGAUGCAUAGCCGACCUGAGAGGGUGAUCGGCCACACUGGAACUGAGACACGGUCCAGACUCCUACGGGAGGCAGCAGUAGGGAAUCUUCCGCAAUGGGCGAAAGCCUGACGGAGCAACGCCGCGUGAGUGAUGAAGGUCUUCGGAUCGUAAAACUCUGUUAUUAGGGAAGAACAUAUGUGUAAGUAACUGUGCACAUCUUGACGGUACCUAAUCAGAAAGCCACGGCUAACUACGUG